rnacentral:rRNA from 1 species
CGAGAGAACUGUUGUUAAGGAACUCGGCAAAAUGACCCCGUAACUUAGGGAUAAGGGGUGCCACCAUCAGGUGGCCGCAGAGAAUAGGCCCAAGCGACUGUUUACCAAAAACAUAGGUUUCUGCUAAGUCGCAAGACGAUGUAUAGGAGCUGACGCCUGCCCGGUGCUGGAAGGUUAAGGGGAUCUGUUAGAGCAAUCGAAGCAGUGAACUUAAGCCCCAGUAAACGGCGGCCGUAACUAUAACGGUCCUAAGGUAGCGAAAUUCCUUGUCGGGUAAGUUCCGACCCGCACGAAAGGCGUAACGAUUUGGGCACUGUCUCAACAACAGACUCGGUGAAAUUGUAAUUCCGGUGAAGAUGCCGGAUACCUGCGACAGGACGGAAAGACCCCAUGGAGCUUUACUGUAGCUUGACAUUGGGUCUUGGUACUACAUGUACAGGAUAGGUGGGAGGCUUUGAAACCAGGACGCCAGUUUUGGCGGAGCCAUCCUUGGGAUACCACCCUUGUAGUACUGGGACUCUAACCAUAGGCCAUGAAUCUGGUCUUGGGACACUGUCAGGUGGGCAGUUUGACUGGGGCGGUCGCCUCCCAAAAGGUAACGGAGGCGCUCAAAGGUUCUCUCAGUACGGUCGGAAAUCGUACGUAGAGUGUAAAGGCAAAAGAGAGCUUGAUUGCAAGACAUACAGGUCGAGCAAGGAUGAAAAUCGGACUUAGUGAUCCGGUGGUUCUGCGUGGAAGGGCCAUCGCUCAACGGAUAAAAGCUACCCUGGGGAUAACAGGCUUAUCUCCCCCAAGAGUCCACAUCGACGGGGAGGUUUGGCACCUCGAUGUCGGCUCAUCACAUCCUGGGGCUGUAGUAGGUCCCAAGGGUUGGGCUGUUCGCCCAUUAAAGUGGUACGCGAGCUGGGUUCAGAACGUCGUGAGACAGUUCGGUCCCUAUCCGUCGCAGGCGUAGGAAAUUUGAGAAGACCUGUCCUUAGUACGAGAGGACCGGGAUGGACGUACCUCUGGUGUACCAGUUGUCCUGCCAAGGGCAUGGCUGGGUAGCUAUGUACGGAAUGGAUAAGCGCUGAAAGCAUCUAAGCGCGAAGCCAACUUCAAGAUAAGAUUUCCCACCGCAAGGGUAAGACCCCAGAAAGACUAUCUGGUUGAUAGGUCGAAGGUGUAAGUGCAGCAAUGUAUUUAGCUUAUCGAUACUAAUAG